UACAGAUUUAGGGAUUCCAGAUACCUUGUAUUUUUUCCAGAUCUCAGGAAAAAUUUUUGAUUGAAAAGAUUCAUUAAAGAUUUCGGUCAGAGGUACAGCAAAAUAUUUUGUAAAAAUCUUCAAGAUCUUCAGAGAGGGAUCAUAAGGACCAGGAGCUUUAUUAAGGUUAAUUUUACGCAAUUCUCGUUGUACCUGGUCGACAGUAAUUAGAGGUAGAUUCUCUAUACAUUGAAAUUCCAACCAAUUUUCGUUCACUUUCGGAUAAUUCUUAGUUAAGUUUGCAAAAUAAUCGUUUAUAUAAUGAGCAGACUGCUUAUCAUCCAUCUGAAACCCAGUAUUGGGAUCCAACAUUAUUGGUUUAGCAGUUUUCUUGCCGAUCAAGCCCUUCAUUUGUUUCCACCAAGAUUUAGGGUUGUUUUUAAAGUUUGGGCUUACUUUAUUCUCGUAGAAAUCAAUUUUCGCUUUCCGAAUUUCUGCCGAGACUUGUCUUCUGAGACUUUUCACACGCUCAACUUUUUUAUUUUUAAAAGCCAUAUUCCUUUUAAGAAUCAACGAUUUUAUUUUAGCUGUCAUAAAAGGUUUAUCCUUACUAUAAACUUUAACCGUUUUUUCCGGAAAAUAUUCAGAAAUCAUAUUCUCAGUGACCUGAAGAAAGUUCCUUUCUCCGUAAUAUGAGACUUGGACUUCCAGCUGAUGAUAUUAUGAUCCGACGUUGACAGUGGGGCUAGGAUUUCCGGAGUUUCGUAACAGUCAGCCAUGUCAGUGAAUAUUAAAUCAAGGAUGUUUCUGUUUCUGAUACAUUUAGGUUUGGUGGAAGGUAUGCGCAUCCUACUGCAAUCCUUGAAAUUGAUCUUGGUAACCACUUUGGGCGGAUAGUAAUCCAUAAGCAUUCAAACAGUUGAUCGUUUAAAUCAUCACGCGUUUUUAGUGGUAUACUUUCAUUGACAUAUAUU